rnacentral:snRNA from 1 species
GGAUGUGAGGGCGAUCUGGCUGCAAUAUCUGUCAGCCCAUUGAUCGCCAGGGUUGAUUCGGCUGAUCUGGCUGGCUAGGCGGGUGUCCCCUUCCUCCCUCACCGCUCCAUGUGUGUCCCUCCCGGUCAAAGAGGACGGGACGGCGGCCUUCCCUGAAUAGAGAUGCGGUCUAAGAGUAGCUGCACUCCCCUGCUAGAACCUCCAAACAAGCUCUCAAGGAAUGAGAGUCUGUUGUAGUACCAGUAGUGAGAACUAUCUUCUAGGCCUGGA